rnacentral:lncRNA from 1 species
AAUGAGGAAGAACUAGAAGAAGAAGAAAAAGAAACUUUAAGCCCUGGUCUUGAAAGGAAUGGCCCUGAUGACUAUCUGGUGGUAGACUGCAGCAAGAGCAGCUCCAAUGAAGGGUCCAACCCAGAAGAUCCACUGCAAAAUUUAACAAAAAAUAAAUAAAUUUGUUAUGGAACUAAGAAAAAAAUAGAGAGGGAAAAUCAGAAAAAAAAAAAUGGUGACGGAGUUUACAUGGUCAUCCCAUGCAUGAUCAGUGUUGAAGAUGAUAGCAGCACCCAAACUCCUGGCUGGGUUAAUGCCAGUUCCUGUGAUGGGGAUGGUGGCCAGGUGAACCAAAAACACUGCAAACCCAAUUGGAAGAGGAGCCAAAAUCUGCC